rnacentral:rRNA from 1 species
AUUGAACGCUGGCGGCAUGCUUUACACAUGCAAGUCGAACGGCAGCGCGGGCUUCGGCCUGGCGGCGAGUGGCGAACGGGUGAGUAAUACAUCGGAACGUGCCCAGUAGUGGGGGAUAGCUCGGCGAAAGCCGGAUUAAUACCGCAUACGACCUGAGGGUGAAAGCGGGGGAUCUUCGGACCUCGCGCUAUUGGAGCGGCCGAUGGCAGAUUAGCUAGUUGGUGGGGUAAAGGCCUACCAAGGCGACGAUCUGUAGCUGGUCUGAGAGGACGACCAGCCACACUGGGACUGAGACACGGCCCAGACUCCUACGGGAGGCAGCAGUGGGGAAUUUUGGAUAAUGGGCGAAAGCCUGAUCCAGCAAUGCCGCGUGUGUGAUGAAGGCCUUCGGGUUGUAAAGCACUUUUGGCGGGAACGAAAAGGACUGUGCCAAUACCACGGUUCGAUGACGGUACCCGCAGAAUAAGCACCGGCUAACUACGUG